GAUGAACGCUGGCGGUAUGCCUAACACAUGCAAGUCGGACGGAAAACCCGGAAAACGGUGUUUCCAGUGGCGGCCGGGUGCGUAACGCGUACGAGCCUGCCCUCGGCCGGUGAACCACAGCUGACAACGGCAGCCAAUACCCCGUACGCUGAGGAGCUAAAGGAGGCAUCCGCCCGCGGGGGGGCACGCGCCUGCUUAGCUAGUUGGUGGGGCAAUAGCUUACCAAGGAGAUGAUCAGUAGCACGUCCGAGAGGGUCAUCGUCCACACUGGGACUGGGGGACGCAGCAGACAAUUAUGGGCAGCAGCCGUGGGCAUUAUGCAGCAACGGGGGGUGGGCUGUCGGAGCAAUGCCGCGGGAAAGUAGAAGGACCAGGGGUCGAGAUCUGCGUUUGCCGGUGAAGAAGCAAUGACGGUACCUGAUGAGUAAGCAACGGCUAACUAUGUG
rnacentral:rRNA from 1 species